ACCUGGGUGGCUCAGUCGGUUGAGCAUCUGACUUUGGCUCAGGUCAUGAUCUCACAGUUUGUGGGUUCGAGCCCCACAUCAAGCU
rnacentral:tRNA from 1 species